GAUGAACGCUAGCUACAGGCUUAACACAUGCAAGUCGAGGGACCGGCGCAUGGGUGAGUAAAACGUACCCAACCUGCCCUUUACUCGGGGAUAGCCUUUCGCAAGAAAGAUUAAUACCCGAUGUAAAGGAUGGGGAUGCGUUCCAUUAGGUUGUUGGUGAGGGAACGGCUCACCAAGACUUCGAUGGUUAGGGGUUCUGAGAGGAAGGCCCCCCACAUUGGAACUAAGGCACGGUCCAAACUCCUACGGGAGGCAGCAGUGAGUAAUAUUGGUCAAUGGGCGCUAGCCUGAACCAGCCGAGUAGCGUGAAGGAUGAAGGCUUAUGGGUCGUAAACUUCUUUUAUAUAAGAAUAUGUAUUAUAUGAAUAAGGAUCGGCUAACUCCGUGCCAGCAGCCGCGGUAAUAC
rnacentral:rRNA from 1 species